CAGCCGCCGCGGUAAUACAGAGGGUGCGAGCGUUAAUCGGAUUUACUGGGCGUAAAGCGUGCGUAGGCGGCUUCUUAAGUCGGAUGUGAAAUCCCUGAGCUUAACUUAGGAAUUGCAUUCGAUACUGGGAAGCUAGAGUAUGGGAGAGGAUGGUAGAAUUCCAGGUGUAGCGGUGAAAUGCGUAGAGAUCUGGAGGAAUACCGAUGGCGAAGGCAGCCAUCUGGCCUAAUACUGACGCUGAGGUACGAAAGCAUGGGGAGCAAACAGGAUUAGAUACCCCGGUAGUCCCUGUCUCUAUACA
rnacentral:rRNA from 1 species